rnacentral:rRNA from 1 species
AAAAAAGGUAAGCUACUAAGAGCGAAUGGUGGAUGCCUUGACUGGUAAAGGCGAUGAAGGACGUACUAGACUGCGAUAAGCUACGGGGAGCUGUCAAGAAGCUUUGAUCCGUAGAUUUCCGAAUGGGGCAACCCAAUGUAUAGAGAUAUACAUUACCUAUAUAGGAGCGAACGAGGGGAAUUGAAACAUCUUAGUACCCUCAGGAAAAGAAAUCAAUAGAGAUUGCGUCAGUAGCGGCGAGCGAAAGCGCAAGAGGGCAAACCCAGUGCUUGCACUGGGGGUUGUAGGACUGCAAUGUGCAAGAGGUAAGUUUAGCAGAACAUUCUGGAAAGUAUAACCAUAGAGGGUGAUAGUCCCGUAUGCGAAAAACAAACCUUAGCUAGCAGUAUCCUGAGUAGGGCGGGACACGAGGAAUCCUGUCUGAAUCCGGGUCGACCACGAUCCAACCCUAAAUACUAAUACCAGAUCGAUAGUGCACAAGUACCGUGAGGGAAAGGUGAAAAGAACUGAGGUGAUCAGAGUGAAAUAGAACCUGAAACCAUUUGCUUACAAUCAUUCAGAGCCCUAUGUAGCAAUACAGGGUGAUGGACUGCCUUUUGCAUAAUGAGCCUGCGAGUUGUGGUGUCUGGCAAGGUUAAGCAAACGCGAAGCCGUAGCGAAAGCGAGUCUGAAUAGGGCGCUUAGUCAGAUGCUGCAGACCCGAAACGAAGUGAUCUAUCCAUGAGCAAGUUGAAGCUAGUGUAAGAACUAGUGGAGGACUGAACCCAUAGGCGUUGAAAAGCCCCGGGAUGACUUGUGGAUAGGGGUGAAAGGCCAAUCAAACUUCGUGAUAGCUGGUUCUCUCCGAAAUAUAUUUAGGUAUAGCGUUGUGUCGUAAUAUAAGGGGGUAGAGCACUGAAUGGGCUAGGGCAUACACCAAUGUACCAAACCCUAUCAAACUCCGAAUACCUUAUAUGUAAUCACAGCAGUCAGGCGGCGAGUGAUAAAAUCCGUCGUCAAGAGGGAAACAACCCAGACUACCAGCUAAGGUCCCUAAAUCUUACUUAAGUGGAAAACGAUGUGAAGUUACUUAAACAACCAGGAGGUUGGCUUAGAAGCAGCCAUCCUUUAAAGAAAGCGUAAUAGCUCACUGGUCUAGUGAUUUUGCGCGGAAAAUAUAACGGGGCUAAAGUAAGUACCGAAGCUGUAGACUUGCACACAACUUAGAUUAUUUAAGUUUAGAAUAUGAGAAACUAAGUUAUAUGUUUAGUUAUAUUUUUACUGAUUUUUAUAGAGUAAAGAUAGAAAUAAAACUUAGUAAAAUCAGUAAAAAUAUUCUUAGACUAAAGUUAAGUAGUUUAAGUUGUGUGCAAGUGGUAGGAGAGCGUUCUAUUUGCGUCGAAGGUAUACCGGUAAGGAGUGCUGGAGCGAAUAGAAGUGAGCAUGCAGGCAUGAGUAGCGAUAAUUAAUGUGAGAAUCAUUAACGCCGUAAACCCAAGGUUUCCUACGCGAUGCUCGUCAUCGUAGGGUUAGUCGGGUCCUAAGUCGAGUCCGAAAGGGGUAGACGAUGGCAAAUUGGUUAAUAUUCCAAUACCAACAUUAGUGUGCGAUGGAAGGACGCUUAGGGCUAAGGGGGCUAGCGGAUGGAAGUGCUAGUCUAAGGUCGUAGGAGGUUAUACAGGCAAAUCCGUAUAACAAUACUCCGAGAACUGAAAGGCUUUUUGAAGUCUUCGGAUGGAUAGAAGAACCCCUGAUGCCGUCGAGCCAAGAAAAGUUUCUAAGUUUAGCUAAUGUUGCCCGUACCGUAAACCGACACAGGUGGGUGGGAUGAGUAUUCUAAGGCGCGUGGAAGAACUCUCUUUAAGGAACUCUGCAAAAUAGCACCGUAUCUUCGGUAUAAGGUGUGGUUAGCCUUGUAUUAGGAUUUACUCCGAAAGCAAGGAAACUUACAACAAAGAGUCCCUCCCGACUGUUUACCAAAAACACAGCACUCUGCUAACUCGUAAGAGGAUGUAUAGGGUGUGACGCCUGCCCGGUGCUCGAAGGUUAAUUGAUGGGGUUAGCAUUAGCGAAGCUCUUGAUCGAAGCCCGAGUAAACGGCGGCCGUAACUAUAACGGUCCUAAGGUAGCGAAAUUCCUUGUCGGUUAAAUACCGACCUGCAUGAAUGGCGUAACGAGAUGGGAGCUGUCUCAAAGAGGGAUCCAGUGAAAUUGUAGUGGAGGUGAAAAUUCCUCCUACCCGCGGCAAGACGGAAAGACCCCGUGGACCUUUACUACAGCUUGACACUGCUACUUGGAUAAGAAUGUGCAGGAUAGGUGGGAGGCUUUGAGUAUAUGACGCCAGUUGUAUAUG